AUUGAACGCUGGCGGCAUGCCUUACACAUGCAAGUCGAACGGCAGCACGGGGCAACCUGGUGGCGAGUGGCGAACGGGUGAGUAAUGCAUCGGAACGUACCUUUCAGUGGGGGAUAACGUAGCGAAAGUUACGCUAAUACCGCAUAUUCUGUGAGCAGGAAAGCUGGGGAUCGCAAGACCUUGCGCGGAUUGAGCGGCCUAUGUCAGAUUAGCUAGUUGGUGAGGUAAAGGCUCACCAAGGAGACGAUCUGUAGCGGGUCUGAGAGGAUGAUCCGCCACACUGGAACUGAGACACAGUCCAGACUCCUACGGGAGGCAGCAGUGGGGAAUUUUGGACAAUGGGGGCAACCCUGAUCCAGCCAUGCCGCGUGAGUGAAGAAGGCCUUCGGGUUGUAAAGCUCUUUCGGCCGGGAAGAAAUCGCACGGGCUAAUACCCUGUGUGGAUGACGGUACCGGAAUAAGAAGCACCGGCUAACUACGUGCCAGCCGCCGCCGUAA
rnacentral:rRNA from 1 species